rnacentral:rRNA from 1 species
AUUUUUGCCCAUGCCUGUUUAUCAGUGCUCAAUCUGGUCAGCUAUUGGAGGCUAAGCAAGGCUGGUCCUGGUUAGUACUUGGAUGGGAGGCCGCUGGAAAUACCAGAUGGCAAAAGAG